rnacentral:rRNA from 1 species
GUCUAUGUCCAUACCACCCUGAACGCACCCAAUCUCGUCUGAUCUCGGAAGCUAAGCAGGGUUGGGCCUGGUUAGUACUUGGAUGGGAGAAAGCAAAGCAAAGAGUAGAAA